rnacentral:lncRNA from 1 species
GGUCGUUGACAGUGUUCCGACCUAUGGCUCGCAUCCCGAGAAUUGUAGUAUUUUAUGUAGCGCUAAGGUCACUAAAAAGUUAGACUUAGCCUACCCUCGGAUUGCAUUCUGCACAAGGUGUACCGGUACACUCUUGAUGGCCGUACCGGUACACACUUUGUACCGGUACACGCUUGAUGGUUGUACCGGUACACUUGUGGCAAAUUACGAACCCGAGCCUCGGGUUGCGUUUUCGUAGGAUGUGUACCGGUACACUUUCCCGUGUACCGGUA